rnacentral:rRNA from 1 species
UACGAAGGGGGCUAGCGUUGUUCGGAUUCACUGGGCGUAAAGGGUGCGUAGGUGGCCGGGUAAGUCUGACGUGAAAUCUCCGAGCCUAACUCGGAAACUGCAUCGGAUACUAUCCGGCUUGAGGGUUGGAGGGGGGACUGGAAUACUUGGUGUAGCAGUGAAAUGCGUAGAUAUCAAGUGGAACACCCGGUGGCGAAGGCGGCUCUCUGGUACGUGACUGACGCUGAGACGCGAAAGCGUGGGGAGCGAACAGG